AUUUGAGAAGCAAAUGCUGUUGAGAAUUAUAGAAUUUUAGAGUUGGAAGAGACAACAAGGGCCAUCCAGUAGUGCAGUAGUAUAUUCAAAGCUUCCUUGUGCACUCUAUUUUCCACUAGAAAUACCAUACUUCUCACAGUAAAAUAUGAACAGAGUUACCAAUACUUUUAAAAAUUAGGAAAUUAAGCAUAUAAAGGGGUAGUACUCAGCCUUACAGAAAUGUCUGGCACUAUCUAUGUAUUUGCAUAAGCAUUACAUGGUAUGCCUGGGGGCUAAACUGGAAGGACAUGGACUACUAUUGACCUGUAUAAAAUCUGAUCCAUGUAUUCAUUAUUUUUAAAAUAAAGGAUAAAGGCAGGACAUUAAAUAAAUAAAUAAAUAAAUAAAUAAAUAAAUACAACAUUGAUAAAUACACCCAGAAACCCAAUGGGAAUGUGCCACUGUCUCUCAGUCACUAUCUGAUAACUCUUUCUCCAUUUUUAUCUAGAAUUUAAUAUUUUAAGACUGCCACUUCUUCAUUCAGGUCUAGAAGUGUGUUUUCCUGGCUAUUACCUCAUGUACAGGAAUGCAGUAUAAAUCUGCACACACCUAUCCUGGAAUAGGUUUCUCUGAAUGAAGAAUGACCUUUCCAAUAUGUGUGCAUAGAUUGUUACUGUUUAUAGGCCCCGCAUCAUAAAUGUUAAUGUCCCUUGUUAACACAUCUAGAUAUCUUCCCAAUACAUAAUCCAGUUAAUGUUGCAUGUGCUUUCAAUACAACAUGUAUGAGAACUUUUAUGAGAUUGGGAUCCAAUCCAGGGAUUGUAAUCUAAUCUUGAAAUUAAGUAAAUACUGAUAUUUAAGCUUAACAUGGUCCUAAAACAUAAAGAACCAGGCACCUCUACAACUAUUUUAUUUAUUUAUUUACCACAUUUGUAUACCACUUUCUCAGCCCGGAGGUGACUCAAGGCGGUUCACAGUUGGCAACAAUUCGAUGCAUUAACAAUUAAAAAAUACAAUUAAAACAAUUAUAAAAUAUAAUUAAAACAUUUAGCAUAUAAUAUAAAAACCAUACAAAUCCAUAAAAACAUAAUCAUCAGCAUCUCCUUGCUACAGCAAAUAUACUUUCUGAAGCUUUUGUGCUGUCGUUUAUCAGUAAAUUUUGCACCCAAAAGGCAAAGCAAUAAAAACAGUACAUUCAAAUAAUCCCAGUCAGAAUUGUAUCUAAAAUAUUUCUUACUUUUCCGAUUCUUGACAUGUUGCAAAGCAAGCAAGCAAAAAAAUGGACAAAAGUUUCACCAUCGGUAGGUAUCUUUGGGACAAGAACAUCUUCUGUCUUGUAAACUGUUCAAGGAAAUGAAAUGAUAGAUACUGAAAUACCAUUGUCCUAUAUUCCAGUGGAAUUACAAGGAAUAUCAUUAAAUCUUAACAGCAAAUUAAACUAAUAUAUUUUUUAAAGAUUAAUCUUUGCCAUCUGAUGUUAAUUGUCAAACACCAAAAAUUACAAAUCCAGCACGUCAAUGUUUAUGGUCAUAAAAUUGCAUUGUAACAUUUAUUUAUUUUAUAAAGAUAACAAAUUAGAUAUAUUUAAAUUUGAAGUAGUAGAACAAAAUCUCAUUUUAAAAACGUUCACAAUCUUCCUCUUAUAAAUAUAUUUUUGUAUUUUUAACCUAGGUUCAGAUACUAUGUGAAAAUCCAUGCCAUAGCAUGUUUCUAUAAAAUGAUAUAACUGCAAAGCAUGUAUUGUGAUUCAGAAAUGCCACUGUUUUUCAAGAAAUGAGCAGGUACAGAUCAUAUACUGAAUUUAAGACACAAAUUGCCAGUUCCAUUUUUCAAAUUCUAUAAUUGCAUAUUUUGUCCUGUAUGGGAUAUAUUUGUUACACAAAAUAAAUACUAAAAGAAAAUAAGCCAAAAGAAUAUUACCCAAAAGGCACUUUUAUGAAGAGUACUUACUAUUUGUCUUUCAAGUAGAGUGUAGUUAAGCUGAUCUGUUGGAGUCCCCUUUGUUGUUAGUGGGACUACAGUGAAACUGUAGUGCUAUAACAGUGUGUGCCUCCCCAACUUCUUUUAUAGUCCACACUAACAAUAGAAGUGAGUGGUGCAUCAAUGUCUGUGACUAAGAUCUUUUUAUUCGUGUAUGAAUGAAAUACGUGCUUCUCCUGAAGACCAUAAAUUUGGAUUCAUAAAGUGUGCUGCCCAGCUGGUGAUUAAGGCACUGGAGCCUCCUUUAUUUGAAAUAUUGCUCACCCUGUUGUCUCCUGUCGUUUUCAUAGGAUUAUAAAAUGGUACAAUAGCAAUGUGGAUCAAUGGUAGGACAAGAGAAUGUGAGACUUUUGCUAUCUGGAUGUUUUAAGAAAGGAUAUGAACUGAAAGGAGGUUGUUAUAACUGUUAUCCAAAAUAAGAGUAUUUUUAAUUACUCAAAUAGUUAAGGAGACAGAAUAUAAUAGAAGAUUCAUAAAAUAAGUGAUGUUUUGAUUACAAUCAGGCCUCCACAUUGCAGGUUUAACUUUUGCAGAUCUUAUUAAUUUUGGAUUUGAUUAAUGUGUUCUUUCUAGAUCAAAGUUUCUCAAACUGUCCUUCCCCAGAUGUUUUGAACUUCAACUCCCACCAUUCCUAACAGCUGGGAAGCUGGAAGAGCACAGUUUGAGAAACACUGCUCUAGAUCCUCCAGGGAAACUAUAUGGUCAAAUUCCAGCAAAUACUGACUAUAAAAUAGAGGGGAUGUUCUCUCACACAAAAAAACAAAGUUUUUUUUUUAUUUGAGGUGGGGAUUUUUAAUCACUUUUGCAGGGGCCCUUCACCUAUAACGCCCAUAAAAGUAGAAGACCUGCUGUAUUUGGACAAAAGCAUUAGCUCAUUUAUACUAGUUUGGAUAUGAGAAAGCAGGUCUGUCGUGGCUCAUCAGGGCUUUCUCCUGCAUUCUACUUUCAGGGCCAUAGCUCAGAUCUUUCUAUGGAAAGUAAUAGCACAGAAGGUAUUUUCUCUGUAGAUGUGCAAAGGAGCAUUCUGUCAAUGAACUAUAUACAGCUCCUAUAUAAUCACAGGCAAAAUUAUGUAAUGUGUUAAUUGCAUAGCAUGAAGCUGGACCUCUACUGUUUUCACUUACAGAUAAAUGUGUGGGCCCUGGUUCAGACUGGAAUCACUACAUAAAAAUGAUGGAUGCUUCAGACUGAGCCACUUACUUUCCAGCCAACAGCAAGUACCUAGUGGAUUGCAAAUAUGUCUUCUGAAUUAAACGUAAGAAAGUCAAAGGAGCAAAAUCACCUACUUCUGGGGAAAUAUGUGUGUGUGUGUGGGGGGGGGGGGGAGCAUAAUGCAUUGGGCCACCAGAAUCACAGGAGUCCAUGACAUAGUUUUGUUUCAUAGCACCUUUCUGGAGGCCUAUUGCCAGUUGUAACAUGAAAUAGAUUUGUUUUUAAUUUUGCCAUACCCCCUUCUCCUGGGGGAAACCUGGGAAUGUAGUAAACCAAUUUAAUACUGUACUUAUGUAGUGAACUCAGAGCAGGAGACCAGAAUGGAAAGGAAUAGAAUGAGGGUAGUAUGACUACUUAGAGAUGGGGAAGCACAGGUUUAGUCAGUUAAGCGUUAAAUUCAGUUAAGCAUUAAAUUCAGUUUACAUUAUUUAUGUUGUUAUACCUGUACUAGGUUGCCUUUGUAUUUCUCAUCUGUUAUAAAUACCUAAAGAAUAAAAAGAACAAGUACUACU